GAGUAAUGUCUGGGAAACUGCCUGAUGGAGGGGGAUAACUACUGGAAACGGUAGCUAAUACCGCAUAACGUCGCAAGACCAAAGAGGGGGACCUUCGGGCCUCUUGCCAUCGGAUGUGCCCAGAUGGGAUUAGCUAGUAGGUGGGGUAACGGCUCACCUAGGCGACGAUCCCUAGCUGGUCUGAGAGGAUGACCAGCCACACUGGAACUGAGACACGGUCCAGACUCCUACGGGAGGCAGCAGUGGGGAAUAUUGCACAAUGGGCGCAAGCCUGAUGCAGCCAUGCCGCGUGUAUGAAGAAGGCCUUCGGGUUGUAAAGUACUUUCAGCGGGGAGGAAGGGAGUAAAGUUAAUACCUUUGCUCAUUGACGUUACCCGCAGAAGAAGCACCGGCUAACUCCGUGCCAGCAGCCGCGGUAAUACGGAGGGUGCAAGCGUUAAUCGGAAUUACUGGGCGUAAAGCGCACGCAGGCGGUUUGUUAAGUCAGAUGUGAAAUCCCCG
rnacentral:rRNA from 1 species